ACCAAAGAUGAAAAGGAUCAGCUCCAAGUGAUGAGGAAAAACAAAAACAAGUCUCGAUUGUUUCAAUAUUUCCAGAGGAAAAUCAAAGGAUAAAGUCAAUGCAGGAAAACGGCAGCUCUGCGGGGACAGCGCACAACCGUCCUUCUCCGCAGGCCACACGGCGACCAGCUCCGAGCCACACGCGCGGCGACCCCCGGACAGAGAGCCACUGACACGACGUGAGCGCGGUGCUGCCUUCCUUCCCAGCUCACCUCCAACACUGCGACGUGGACGAAACACUGGGGGAAGGCCUGAGGGGAGCCCAAAGGACGGAACCUCUCACACAAGGUGACCGUGGAGAGCAGGCUUGGACGUGGCCCCGGGGUGGGCCACCCCCGUCGUGCCAGGAUGGUUCAGUCUGUGAAACGGGUUAACGCGGCAACACUGGCUGCCAAGUCACACAUCCAAGACGAGGUUAUAAAAAACGCUGCAGCUCCCGCCUAAGGUUCUCUCCCGCUCCGGCUCUUCCUCUCUCCUCCGUGGCCCACUUGCUCUGCGGGAAGCGGGCUGCCACGCUGAGAGGGGCCCUGUCGAGAGGCCCCUCUGCUGAGGGACGGGAGCUUGGGGCUCACCGCCAGGGAGGGUCUGAGGGUCCUGCCUGUAGCCAUGUGGGUGAUCUUGGAAGAUGCUCCCCUGUCACGCCUUCGGAUGAGACUGUAACCCAGCCAACAGCCUGACUGCAGCCUGCUGCGGGGCCUUGACUCACUGCCACCCGGUGACGCCCAUCCCUAAGUCCUGACCCACAGAAACUGCAGCGUAAGAGGAUCUGCAGGAAUGAGUUGACCCG